rnacentral:rRNA from 1 species
CUACGGGCCGCAGCAGUGGGGAAUAUUGCACAAUGGACGAAAGUCUGAUGCAGCAACGCCGCGUGGAGGAUGACACAUUUCGGUGCGUAAACUCCUUUUAUAUAAGAAGAUAAUGACGGUAUUAUAUGAAUAAGCACCGGCUAACUCCGUGCCAGCAGCCGCGGUAAUACGGGGGGUGCAAGCGUUACUCGGAAUCACUGGGCGUAAAGCGCAUGUAGGCGGACUUGUAAGUUGGAAGUGAAAUCCUAUGGCUCAACCAUAGAACUGCUUCCAAAACUGCUUGUCUAGAAUAUGGGAGAGGUAGAUGGAAUUUCUGGUGUAGGGGUAAAAUCCGUAGAGAUCAGAAGGAAUACCGAUUGCGAAGGCGAUCUACUGGAACAUUAUUGACGCUCAGAUGCGAAAGCGUGGGGAGCAAACAGGAUUAGAUACCCCCGUAGUC